rnacentral:rRNA from 1 species
UACGAAGGGGGCUAGCGUUGUUCGGAAUUACUGGGCGUAAAGCGCAUGUAGGCGGAUAUUUAAGUCAGGGGUGAAAUCCCGCAGCUCAACUGCGGAACUGCCUUUGAUACUGGGUAUCUUGAGUAUGGAAGAGGUGAGUGGAAUUCCGAGUGUAGAGGUGAAAUUCGUAGAUAUUCGGAGGAACACCAGUGGCGAAGGCGGCUCACUGGUCCAUUACUGACGCUGAGGUGCGAAAGCGGGGGGAGCAAACAGG